UUAAAAUGGCUCGACCUUUCUAGCAAUAAUAAAGAACUAAAUGACAAGACCUAAAUAACCAAACACCCAAGAAUAAUGACAAAUCCAGGACAUGAGACAUCAGAAUAAUUGUCAAACUAUAAGGAAUAAUUAGACAUGUUGUUUGUUACAGAUGCAGACGGUUUGAUUCCUCAGAGACACAGCAAUAAUACACAGCCACCUGACAAACAUUUAGACUUCUUACUGACCCUGUAAACUGAAUCCUGACUGGGUCAGGAAACAUUUGGUUUACUGACCCAGAUCUUGGUGUCGUGUCCGACAUUUUUCAAAGACCAUGAACUGUUCUCUGGUCAACUCUCAGGACGUGCUGUCAGGAUUCAGACAUUAGUGGAGACAAGAAGAAUGUUCUGAUAGUUUGUGAUUUAAACAAAACUAUUCAUCUAAAGGUUGCUCUAAAACUAUAUCUGUCAUGUUUUUCUCCCACAACAAUACAAAAUAAUGGUUGUUACUGCAGGUUCUAAUGAAAGGAUUUCUAACGCUGCAUUCAGUGUCAUUAAACUGAAACAUGCUGGUUUUCUUUCAUUUUAGAACAAGUGGAACAAGAUAAACUGUUAUAUUCUAUUUAUGGGAUUUAUUCAAGACAUUUCUGCUCAAUGUUUUGAUAGUUUAAAAGAACUGUAAGUUUAGUCUAACAACAGCCUUUAAUUAGAAUAUUUUAUGCAAAAUUUGUAAAUAAAAGUUAUUACAUACAGAUUUGUCUGUUAAACAAAUUUGAUGUAUAAUUCAUUUAAAACAUAUUGACCAUGUUGAAGUACCAUAAAGAACUUAAUAUAUUUAUAUUCUUUACACUUUAUGAAAAUGUUUUGGUCUCAUAAUUCUACCAUUUCAAACCUUUUUGAUUUUUUGUUACAUGAAGUGUUUAAUUUAUGGUUGUGUUGUUAUGAAAUCAGAACAAAUCUCAGUAUUUGCAGAUCCUAAAUGUUUAAAUUAUGUCUAAAAAUAGAUUUUUGUAAUCUUUUGAUUUUUGUGAAAAACCUCCAGGAAGGAAACAGGAAUCAGUUUCUAUAUGACAGUUGUAGCAUUAUUAAAAGAAUUAUUCCAAAUCCCUGAUUUUGCUCUCUCAAUAAAUAUUGUCUUGCAGUGAACGAGUCAAAACCUUCCAGCUUUUCUGCCACUAGAGGCUUUAAAAGCCCCAAGGAGGAGUCCUCUGUCCAUGGCUCAUCACUGGUCAAUGGCGAGAUACAACCCUACUUCAGCGUCACUGAAGAUGAAGCAAAGAAAAUCUGAAGAUCAGCAGAGACCUGAGGAGCUGAACACUGUUUCUGCUUCAGCAGCCUAAUGCAAAAGUGGCGAGAUGCAAACCUACAAACCUGUGUGCUAAUAAUGAAAUAGUGAAAUGUUCACACUCAUCAUUUAUGUCUUGUGAUUGAUAUCUUUUAUCUGGUGUAUGAUUGGUGGGACUGUGUGGGGUAUUUGGUGGUUAAUGAGAUAUGCCUCUACGACUUUUCUUUCACUGACUAAUUUCUCUAAUUAAAGUUUUUUAUCUAAAAAAUAUAUAAUCACAAUAAUUUGAAUAAUAAUCUUUCAUGAAAUGUAUUGAAACUAAUAAAGCCAUUGCAUUAUG